CCCGCUGAACUUAAGCAUAUCAAUAAGCGGAGGAAAAGAAACUAACAAGGAUUCCCCUAGUAACUGCGAGUGAAGCGGGAAGAGCUCAAAUUUUGAAUCUGGCGGUGUUUGGCCGUCCGAGUUGUAAUCUAGAGAAGCGUCUUCCGCGCUGGACCGUGUACAAGUCUCCUGGAAGGGAGCGUCAUAGAGGGUGAGAAUCCCGUCUUUGACACGGACUACCAGUGCUAUGUGAUGCGCUCUCGACGAGUCGAGUUGUUUGGGAAUGCAGCUCAAAAUGGGUGGUAAAUUCCAUCUAAAGCUAAAUAUUGGCGAGAGACCGAUAGCGAACAAGUACCGUGAGGGAAAGAUGAAAAGCACUUUGGAAAGAGAGUUAAACAGUACGUGAAAUUGUUGAAAGGGAAACGAACGCUACGUAUCAUGUUUAUUGGACUCAGCCGAUCUUCGGUGUACUUCCUUUAAACGGGUCAACAUCAGUUUUGUCCGAUGGAUAAAGGUAGUAGGAAGGUGGCUCUCUCGGGAGUGUUAUAGCCUAUUGCCGCAUACAUUGGAUGAGACUGAGGACUGCAGCUUGCCUUUAUGGCCGGGGUUCGCCCACGUUCAAGCUUAGGAUGUUGACAUAUACUCGAGCGCACGCCCCGUCUUGAAACACGG
rnacentral:rRNA from 1 species